UAGUAAGUGUUCAAAAUCCCCUUUUAUUGGUUGUUGGCAUCCAGGUGAACCAAUGGCACAAGAGUAAGAUUUAAUCACCAAAAAAAUAAAACAGAGAGUUCCAGUUUCACAAAGUAAAAAAAAUAAAAAAAGUUGAUUUUUUAUUUUUAUUUAUAUAGUUACAUUUAGUAAAUUACCCAGAAACACUUGAGUCAUACACAGGCAUUACCAAGAACUACAGUGAGGUACUCUAACCUCUCACCUGUGUGAACCAACAGUCAACACACACACACACAUAUCCAUCCACUAACACCACAUCAUUGACCUCUUGGACUAGAUCACAGUGGAUCACAUUUACAUGAUAAUGGAGGAGAUGAAGCACCAGAUUCCAGUUGUGGAGGAGGAGUGAAACCAGGAAGUGAGAUGGUUUUUAUAUCAAUGACCAACAGAUCGUUCUCCAUGAUAAUGGCUGUGCCUUUAGAGAGGGAAAUUAAAAGAAAUUCUUCCAGUCAGAGAGGUUUUAACGUCCGAACGGGAUCGGCGAUCCCGUCAGAGAGGUUAACGCCCGACCGGGAUCGGCGAUCCCGUCAGAGAGGUUAACGUCCGACCGGGAUCGGGGAUCCAGUCAGAGAGGUUAACGUCCCACCAGAUCAGAGCUCUGGACAGCUGUAAGGACACACACUUCCUUCAUGAAAACAACAUUUAACAGGUUAUUUCCUGUCUGGGAGAUCAAAAUCUCCAUCAAUGAGCUCACAGCUAGAGGAAGACAUAAUUUCCUCUAGGUUAACAUUGUAAAUUUCCUGUGAUUCAAUAUGAGAUGAGGGACUAAAACCCAUUCCAGAAUCCGCUUCCAGUUUUUACACAACGCUCAGAGACCAGCGGGUCUCUACUUCCAGAAAGGCCCGGAUUCAAUACCAUCACUGCUUUUUUUAGACAAUGCGCCAUUUAAAAAAUACAAAUAAAAUGGCGCAUUGUCCAAAAAUCUCCAACCAAUGAGCUCACAGCUAGAUGAUGACAUCAUUUCCUUUAGGUUACACAUUGGAACAUUUUACAUUUCCUGUGAUUCAAUAUUAUGAGAUGAGGGAGUAAAACCCCAUUCCAGAAUCCACUUCCAGUUUUUCCACGGCGCUCAGAGUCCAGCGGGUCUCUACUUCCAGACAGAACCGAUUCUGUAUCAUCACUGCUUUUAUUUCUUCUUCUAAAAGGGUCAUUUCAAAAUAAGCCGACAUAUGCAGCGUUUACCGUAAACAUUGCAUUGUGGGAUUGAAUCCUGGCCAACAAAAUCAGGUCAUGGAUGAUAAAUACAGACAGGUGGAGGGAGACACCUGGAUACAAAGACCAAAAUAAACACACAGAGACGGAUAGAGAGAGAGAGAGAGAGAGACGGAUAGAGAGAGAGAGACGGAUAGAGACAGAUAGAGAGAGAGAGACGGAUAGAGAGAGAGAGAGAGACGGAUAGAGAGAGAGAGAGAGAGACGGAUAGAGAGAGAGAGAGAGAGAUGAGAGAGAGACGGAUAGAGAGACGAUGAGAGAGAGACGGAUAGAGAGACGAUAGAGAGAGACGGAUAGAGAGACGAGAGAGAGAGACGGAUAGAGAGAAAGAGAGAGAGACGGAUAGAGAGAGAGAGAGAGAGACGGAUAG
rnacentral:lncRNA from 1 species